GCAUUUCCGGCGACAGAAAGGAUCCGGUGACGCCUCUUCCCUUCUCUCCUGCCGCCCAGGCUCCGGCUCUCGGUGCGGCAGCGCCAUCUGGUGCCGAGUGUCUCGCCGCCCGCGGAGGGGGCGCGCGCCUUUCGGAACCUUCCAGAGAAAACGCGGCCCCGGUUCUGCUCUGUCCCGCCCUCGGGAAGGGAGCGACCAGAGGCUCCGCCCUGCCGAGUUCCCGCGCAGGAGGGACGCAGGGAGAAGACGACAACCAUCUCUGAACCAGGGAGAGAGCCCUGACCAAGAACCAAAUCUGCUGGUGCCUUGAUCUCCAGAGCUGUGAAGAAUUCAUGAAAGCUUGGAAGAAAAAAAGGAACAUGUUACUAGCACCUUUCAUUUUUUCAAUCAGUGGGAAUUCUCCUGGUGGAUGAUUGUCAUGUGCAGCUCAGGAGACCCUGGAAGAUUUAAGGCAUCCUGUGCUCCAGGCAUCCCAUAGAAACUUGUUUAAGUCUCCCAAAGAACUCUGAGGUGACUGCGAGAGCUCCAUCUACAAGUUAAUCAACGAAGGAUCAGAGACUUUAAGGAGACUGUCCUGAGUCACACAGGCAUUAAAUGGCACAGGUCUAAGCUCAAUAUGACCUCCUCGAGGGGCGUUUUUCCGGCAGUCUUAUGACCACCACCACCCCACCUCAAGGCCUGCUCCAGCCUCAGGCUCCUCAGGUAGGAGUUAUCCUUUUGUAUGUGCAUAUAUGUACAAUAUACAUAUUUCUUUAGUACCUUUAUUUCAUCCAUUUAUGUUUAUCUUUGCUUCUUAGUAUUAGAUAUAAGCUCUAUGAACAGCAUCAGCUGUAGAUUUUUCAUCUUUGAUUCCCCAACAUUCUAUAUAGGGAUUGGCACAUAGUAGAGAUUUCACAAUUGAAUAAAUGAGCAAAUUAACCAAUGUAGGUUGUUGGUAAAUUUCCACAUGAGUGCAGAAGUGCAACAGCCAGGAGGAGGACCAGGAAUUGGUUCCCAGGACUGCUGCCAUGCAUUUCGCUCAGGUUUUAAGUCUUGAGGGAAAUGCUGCCACUGGGCCCCCUGAGAGAUUUGCAGUGAUAAUGCUUGAAAAUGGACAACUUACUGGAAGCAGAGGUUCUUAGUGCAGAAGAAUUUAAGGAAGUUAAUGAUGCCACCUACUCCUGGUCCAUGCUGGCCAUACUCCUGGCCUGCCUUUGCACCUACUCUUCUUCCCCGCUGUUCUAUUUAAACUUACCCCACUCUGUCCCACUUUCAUGCUUUAUUUUUUCCAUAGCAAUUAUCACUGUGUAUUCUAAUUACUUACUUACUGCCUGUCUUCCCCCUCCCCAUCGGAAUCUAAACUCUGAUUGCAUAUAGUCUGCUUUUCUCCAGCUCUAUAUCAGUGCUAAAAAUAGUCCCUGGGAGUAGUAGCUGCUCAAUAAAUAUUGUGGAAGGAAGGGAGAGAGAGAGGGAGGGAAGGAAGAGAGAGGGGGGUUGAAAGAAAAAAAGAAUGUUAGGAAAGAAGAAUGGAAAGAAAAAAAAAUAUCUGAAAGUCUGGCAAGCUUCAAUAUAUUCAGGUAAUCUCCUGGCUUAUUUACUGAUUUGUUUUGUUUGGUUCACAAAAAUAUUUUAAAAAUUUAAAAAGCUGAAAAAUUUCCAUAAAAUAUCAGAUUAUGGGCUUCUUGCAAACAAUCAGUUCUGGUUAACUGGGUCUGUGCUCCCAUAUCAUGUCAGUCAUCUAGACCUGAGUGGCAGCCUUCCUGGGGGUCAUGGGCUAGAGUGACUUAAUAGGCCAGAGAUUUAAAGUAGGGAUGAAAGUUGAGAUCUCUCUUGGAUUUCCUGAAUGGCCCUGAGAAUCUCACUGUGGAUGGCUAACCCAGGAAGUCUCAGAAUAACAGAUUCUUACGAAAUCCACAUUCUCAAGGGGGUUCCAACGAGCAAAUCAUGUCCAGGUCUUUAAGUCCUGUUUCAUUUAGGCAAGAGACCCUUGGGGCUUACCUGAGAGGGGUCAGGUGUGCCCAGACAAACCCUUUACUGAUCCUCUGUCCCAAGAACUUUCCCUAGAGAACCUGAGCCCUACGGCCCUCUAGUAAGGGUGUUUGUGCAAAUAUGUUAGGACAUGUUCACCCACUGGAGAGAUAGUAUCACAAAGCCUGUUUAACUCCAAAAUACACUUAACAUAUGAUCCUAUCACCCCCACACAUCUGUUUGUUCAUUCAAGAAUAAUGCACUGAGCACCAAGUCCCAGGCCAUGUGCUAGGUACUGUGUAUUCAAGUGUUGAAGAAGUCACAUGAUCCCAGUCCUCACAGACUUCACACUAUUCUCAAGAAAGAGAAACAGGUAAGUAAUAAAAUAAGUAUGAAAAUAUUGGUAGCACAGGAAGGUACUGGAGCACAGCAGAGGCUCUGAAACUGCAUAUUCAAAGUUCAAUAUGUAGAAAAUAGGCAGAUGUUCAAAGCUUUUUCCUGAACUGCUUGCAGGUAAAUUCUAGGGAAAAUUAAGUAGUUAUUUAGCUUAUUGUUAUAACGUAGGAUUUGUAUAACAUAUAUAAACCUCCUUAAUUUGCUUUGAAAUUUCUAGAUGUAAUUGUCUAAAGACCACUUUGCAUCCUCACUUUAUAUACACAAACAUAAAGUAAUAUUUCGAUCUAGGUAUCUGAGUCCACCCUUUUACAUAAAUCUAAUGAAUUUGAAAGCUUUCUCCAACCUACCUAAAUUAUUUAUGUUUUCAUUACCAAUACUACUUAACACCAGUAAAUCUAUAUACUACAACUUAUAAUUAUUAUGUUUUAAUAUAAAUUGCAUUUCUAUUUUUAGCAUACCUGGUAGUGUAUAUUAUGUAUUAUAUAUAAAACAUAACAUUUAACAUUUUAACCAUUUUUAGGGGUUCAGUUCAGUGCCAUUAAGUAUCUUCACAUUGUUGUGCAACCAUCACCACCAUCCAGAACCUUUUCAUCAUCCCAAACUGAAACUCUGUACCCACUAAACAGUAACUCCUCAUUCCAUCUCCUCCCCCAGCCCUUGGUAACCACUGUUCUGUUUCUCUCACUAUGGAGUUGACUAUUCUAGGCACCUUAUAUAAGUGAAAUCAUACAAUGUUUGUUCUUUUGUGACUGGCUUUUUCUGCUUAGCAUAAUGUUUUAAAGUUUCAUCCAUAUUGUCACAUGUAUAAGAUUUUUUUUUCUUUUUUUUUUUUUUUUUUUGCUUCUUAAGCUGAAUAAUAUUCAGUUGUAUAUAGAUACCACAUUUUGGCUAUCCAUUCAUCAGUUGAUGGACAUUUGGGUUGUUUCCACCUUUAGGACGUUGUAAAAUCAUGCGGCUAUAAACAUAGGUGUACAAAUAUGGUUAUUAUGUUUAUGUAGUACUCUUAAUUUUGCAGAGUGCUUUUGUGUCUACAGUUCAUAACUCUCUGGGAAAUGAGGGAGUUAGUAUUUUCCUCUUCUGGAAGAUAAGAAGUCCAAAUUAUUGCAAAAUCAAGUCACUUAUUAAUUUGGGGACAGUUUCUGACUCUUAGCCUGAAAAGUAUGUUUUUCUAACAUACUUUUUAUUCUUCAGUCCAGUGAUUCUUCACCAGCUGAAGAUACCAGGAAGGAAGAAGCAAAAAUAUUCUUGUUGUGAUGCAAUUGUAGAGUAGCUCAAAAGUCUUCUUUUACUUGGACAUGCUAAAUGAAAUCAGUAGGCUCACAAUUUGGGGAAAAAUCAAUUUUAAAAAUGUGUCAUUCAGGCACCAGUGGUAGCUGUUUUUUUCUCUAGCAAAAUGGCAUUCUGGGGCCAGCUAAUCCGGAGUUAGCCUUCCUCCUUCCCCCUCAACUUCACCAUUGCCUCUUAAACAAACUUCCCAUGUACUCGAAGCUGAGAAACUAUGUCUAUAAUCCAAAUAAAAUAUCUAAAUCUUGAUUACUCACGGGCUUAAAUCAUACCUGAUAUAGUUUCACAUUCUGUUCUUGGAUAACAAUCUUCAUUAAAUUCCAGAGACGCCAAUGCUCUGUUUGAACAGAGCUUUUGAAAAAGUUGAGAGGUCCUCAGACGACCUUUGAGGGAGGGGAAUAGAGGCUAGAUAUGUAGGCGGGCAGGACCAGCGAUGCUGUGUCCAGGAUGGAGCCCUUUGCCAGCUAGGUUCCAGCUGACUUGUCCUAGAGCAGUUUGUCUUCACUAAACUCAUGUCUCUUUACGUCGGUAACAUUAGGCAAGGUUUAAUUUUUUGAAAUAGCAAUAUUAUCUGUGCUACUUCUCUUAGUUUCUGAUGGUUUAGAAAGACAUUUCUAACAGUUAAAACUGCUCUAAUUAUUAAAUUUAUUCAAUUAAAAAAAUCUCUUUAGUUGUAAUAAUUUCAGGUCAGUGUGAAAGAUCCUGAGUCUUAUAGUCUGCUUGGCUUUCUGCCUUCACUUGCUGGUCCUGGCCAGGUCUAGCCCCUUUCUGGUGCACAGUUUUCUCUGAACCAUAGUUGCACUGGUGGUUCUUGCUGCUGUGUUUGGGAGAUACACUAAAUAACUCUUUGAUUUGUGCUGUUAGUUCCUUGAUGGUGUUGCUUCCUUGGUAGGGCUUGCAACUUUAUCAAAUAAAGAUAUAGCCAGUUAAAGCUGAAUUUCAGAUAAACAACAACUAAAUUUUAUAAGUAUGUUCCAUGUAAUAUUUGGGAUAUACUUACUCUAAGAUUUUUUUCAUUGUUUAUCUGAAAUUCACAUUUAACUGGAUGCCCUUCACUUUAACUGACAACUCUAUUCUUUGGAUUUCUGCCAGAAAGGUACUCAAAGAAUAGGCACUCAUAGUGACAUUAACUAAUAAAAACAGAAUCAACUAUUCUUGAAUCCAGACAGCCUGGCUCGAAUGCCAGUAAGCAUCAUGGGGGUCUGAGCCCUGUGAUUUGCAGAUACCUAAAUUGGACACCAAAGUGCAAUGUUUGAGUUAUAAGAAAAGAGAUGAAGAGGAUUUGCCUUUCAACUUCCAGUUCUCUUUUGGAAGCAGAUGUUGAUAAAAGUUACCUUCCCAGGUGAUCAAUCUGAAAAGCAUGGUUUGUAAGGCCAGAAAAGGGAAAAGAAGUAAGACAAUAAGGCAAGUAAUGACACACACUAAAUUUUGUUAAUUCUGAAAUUUUGAGGGUGAGUAGGAACUCCACUAGGGAGUGUAUGUAUGUAAGUUUUGGGGGGGGUGAAGGAGGAGGACAGGGUGAGGGAAUGGGAAUCUGACCUACCAGAAAGAAAAAAAUAAUUCCGAUUACAUUCUAAUAUAAGCUCACAGAUAUAGCACCAUUGAAGUAAUUUAUUUCCUGUUCAACCCCAAAACUAUUUACCAGGGAUUCCAGAGAGUUGAGAGUUAUCACACUUUUAUUAAUUUGAUUAUACAUAGACAUGCUAUGGCAUGAACAAAGUGAUGGUAAAUAGGCUUUGUCUUGAAAAUUUUAUAAUCAAAAGACCACCAGAAAUUCUGGCAAAAUAAUCUUUGGAAGCAUUAAUAUUCUUUUCCUAAACAGACUUGACCAUAGCAGCUUGGAAGUCGUCGGUAUGAGUCUGGUCAGGGGGACAGGACACCACUGAUUUGCUCUGUGGUUCUCAGCAAAUCAAGUACCUUUGCUUUGCCAUCUUGUUCCCCUCUUUGUCUUACUCUGAAAAGUCAAGGGUUUGUUAUGUACCUCAGUGUGGCCUAGGUAGGCUCCACUGAGGAUAUAAAAGAAGAUGAUGGAGUGCCUGUUCUCGAGAACUUUCCACUCCAGUUCUGAUAAAGAGGGAAAAAAACUUCUCCCUCUUUACCAAACGGGGAUUCUAGGCUUUUAGCUGCUUUCUGAGGAAACAAAUUGAAAUCUGUGCAACUAGGGGGUGCAUCAUGCUUUAUACCUUCUCAAUAGUUGCCUCAGAAGACAAGGGGUUAAAAUUACUGUUUAAAGCUCAUACCCAUUAAUGUGAAAAUAGCUACAACCCCAUUACUCAAAUGGGUAAGGAGACAUAAACAUUUUCCUAGAGGGGAAAUACAAAAAGGUAGUGAAAAUCUGAAAAAGGAUGGUCUCAAUAGCAGUAAACAAUCACAAGUUAAAAUCAGACACUGUUUUCUCCAUAAAUUUGGUGAGGUUUUGAGAACAUCAAAUUCAGUGUUCGUAAGAGUGAGGAAUGGGGUUUAUUCCCAUUAAUUGCCAUUAGUAGUUUGAAUUAAAACUAUAUUCUAGGAAACAAUUUUCUAAUAUCAAACAAUAUUGCUUUCAAUGAUAGAAAUCUUAGAGCCAUUCUCAGUGAAUGAUCAAGACACUUUAUGGGCAAAAAAUAACAGCAUUUAUUUAUUUUCAGUUUUUAUUUAUUUAUUUUAUUUUUAUUUUUAUUUUUAUUUUGCUUUUUAGGGCUGCACCUGAGACAUACAGAAGUUCCCAGGCUAGGGAUCAAACUGGAGCUGCAGCUGCUGGCCUAUGCCACAGCCACAGCAACGCUGGAUCCAAGCUCCAUCUGCAAUCUGUACCGCACUUUGUGGCAACUCUGGAUCCUUAGCCUGCUGAAUAAGGCCAGGGAUUGAACCCACAACCUCAUGGAUACUAGUUGGGUUCUUAACCCAUUGAGCCACAAUGGGAACUCCUGAUGACAGCAUUUAAAAAAUAGAAAUAUUGUUAGCAAGCUAAAUGUUUAGUUGCUUGGAUAUUGUUUAUUUCAUUUUAUAUGUGCAAAAGAUUAAAUAUGCAUCAAAUAUUCAUAUUAAUCUUUUUAUCAUGAAUUUUUAAAACAUGAGGAAAUACCUUUGUAAAAUAUAUAAUUAUUAACAAAGAAUAAUACAAAUUAUAUGUAGUUUGGGAUGACUUAUUUCAAAGUAGUAGAGAAAGAACUGCAAAGAAAUAUACAAAAUGUUACCAUUGGUUGUCUAUAGAAGAGUGUUUAUAGAUGAUUUUUUUCUUUAACUUUUACCCUUUUAUAUAUUGCCCAAGUAUUCUAUAGCAGUCAGAAAAAAAUAUACACAAUAAGUGGUCAGGUGGAUGCAUACUCAGCGCUUGGUUCUAAGAAUAUUGUUUACUUAUUUAUUCUUCCCAUCUAUUAUCUGCAUGACUUUGGGGUAAAUCAGGUAAUUAUGAAAGCAUAUGUGUAUUCUCUCAUGUAUAAACUAUGGCAUUAAACUUCCCCCCAGGUUUGUUAGGAGAAUCAUUUGAAGUGAUGAAUUUGAAAAAUGCUUUCUAGGAGUUCUCCUGUGGCACAGAGGGUUAAGAAUCUGGUGUUGUCACUGCAGUCGCUUGGGUUGCUAUUGUGAUAUGGGUUCAAUCCCUGGCCCAGGAACUUU
rnacentral:lncRNA from 9 species